rnacentral:rRNA from 1 species
GACGUAGGGUGCAAGCGUUAUCCGGAUUUACUGGGCGUAAAGAGCGCGUAGGCGGUCUGUUAAGUGAGAAGUGAAAUCUUCAGGGCUCAACCCGAAAAUUGCUUUUCAUACUGGCAGACUUGAGGGAUGGAGAGGUAUGUGGAAUUCCUGGUGUAGCGGUGAAAUGCGUUGAUAUCAGGAGGAACACCCAUGGCGAAGGCAGCAUACUGGUCAUCAUCUGACGCUGAGGCGCGAAAGCGUGGGUAGCAAACAGG